rnacentral:rRNA from 1 species
UGCAAGUCGAACGGUAGCACAGAGAGCUUGCUCUCGGGUGACGAGUGGCGGACGGGUGAGUAAUGUCUGGGAAACUGCCUGAUGGAGGGGGAUAACUACUGGAAACGGUAGCUAAUACCGCAUAACGUCGCAAGACCAAAGAGGGGGACCUUCGGGCCUCUUGCCAUCACAUGUGCCCAGAUGGGAUUAUCUAUUAGGUGGGGUAACGGCUCACCUAGGCGACGAUCCCUAUCUGGUCUGAGAGGAUGACCAGCCACACUGGAACUGAGACACGGUCCAGACUCCUACGGGAGGCAGCAGUGGGGAAUAUUGCACAAUGGGCGCAAGCCUGAUGCAGCCAUGCCGCGUGUAUGAAAAAGGCCUUCGGGUUGUAAAGUACUUUCAGCGGGGAGGAAGGCGAUAAGGUUAAUAACCUUGUCUAUUGACGUUACCCGCAGAAAAAACACCGGCUAACUCCGUGCCAGCAGCCGCGGUAAUACGGAGGGUGCAAGCGUUAAUCGGAAUUACUGGGCGUAAAGCGCACGCAGGCGGUCUGUCAAGUCGGAUGUGAAAUCCCCGCGCUCAACCUGGGAACUGCAUUCGAAACUGGCAGGCUGGAGUCUUGUAGAGGGGGGUAGAAUUCCAGGUGUAGCGGUGAGAUGCGUAUAGAUCUGGAGGAAUACCGGUGGCGAAGGCGGCCCCCUGGACAAAGACUGACGCUCAGGUGCGAAAGCGUGUGGAGCACACAGGAUUAUAUACCCUG